UAAACUCCCAUAGAAUUUCUGAAUCUGCUAAUAUCAUUUGUAUUUUGUUGAUGGAAAUGUGGAUUUGGGGAUAUGCAGCUGGAAGGGUUGGUUCUAUCCAGAAAGUUGCAGAUAGGCUUCGUUGUUACACUUGGUCAUGACUUCUUCAUCUCACUUCAAAAUUGCAAAAGGAGGUUUAUGCGGUGGUGGUUGUUGCAAGAAGGCCCUCGCGGUGAUAAUUUAUACGGUGGUGGUUGAUUAUACUGAUGUGACUGUGUCUUAGAUAUC